GACGAACGCUGGCGGCGCGCUUAACACAUGCAAGUCGAACGGAAAGGCCUGCUUUCCCUUGUGGAUUGCGGGUACUCGGGUGGCGAACGGGUGAGUAACACGUGAGUGAUCUGCCCCCAACUUGGGUAUAAGCCUGGGAAACUGGGUCUAAUUCCCGAUAGGACUGCAGGGUGGUGCCUGUGGUGGAAAACGAUUUUCUAGUGGUUGGGGAUGAGCUCGCGGCCUAUCAGCUUGUUGGUGGGGUAAUGGCCUACCAAGGCGGCGACGGGUAGCCGGCCUGGGAGGGUGGACGGGCACAUUGGGACGGAGAUACGGCCCAGACGCCUACGGGAGGCAGCAGUGGGGAAUAAUGCACAAUGGGCGGAAGCCUGAUGCAGCGACGCCGCGUGGGGGAUGACGGCCUUCGGGUUGUAAACUCCUUUCGACCGCGAGGAAGCCACCUGGUUGGAAGGGUGGUGACGGUAGUGGUAGAAGAAGCACCGGCUAACUACGUG
rnacentral:rRNA from 1 species